AUACAUAUCUUAAGUGUCGUCU
rnacentral:siRNA from 1 species